AAACAGAAUAAUUGUAGUAAAAUUGACAUGGAACAGUAAAAUUACCCUCUAAUCACCCACCCAAACCCCCAACUCCUCCCCCUUAAAACCCUACGCUCUUUGCCUCUUCACCUGUUGGGAUAAAAAAAUGAUGGGAUAAAAACUCUAAAAAUGGGUCAAGUAACUAGUAAGGAUCAAAACAUUAAUAAGAGUUUUCAGAGAGUGUUCUAUAGUAUACAAAUUUGAGUUACUCUGUCUUGGGUUGUUAAGGUUUUCUAUAGGUUUUAUAUCAAGUAGACACACAUGAUGUAGAAACCAAAAUCACAAAGUAAUUAAAUUAAUGCAUUGGUGCAAUUUGCAGGAGUUUUUCCUAUUGGGACAGAGACUUUCCUUGGGGAGCAAUAAUGUCAGGCACUGCAGAAGUCGAGUUUGUAACUAUGCCUGUAAACAUAGAGCCAUUAUACUUGCGAACAAAGGCCAUAUUGCUGGAUUCAGCAGUUCCGACGCUUAAUGAAUCUGGAGAUGAAGCUGAGUCGAAGAAGGAAUUCAGAGGGGAAGAAACAUGUGAUAGGUGAUUGUAUGAUGUUUAAGAGCUUUGACUCAGUGGGGCUGCUUUUUAGACACUUGCAGAGGGCUUUCCUGUUGGAAAAUAA
rnacentral:misc_RNA from 1 species